UGAUGGAGAAUGAAGCUGAA
rnacentral:miRNA from 1 species